rnacentral:misc_RNA from 1 species
GAUGAAGAACGUAGCAAAAUGCGAUAAGUAAUGUGAAUUGCAGAAUUCAGUGAAUCAUCGAAUCUUUGAACGCACAUUGCGCCCGCCAGCACUCUGGCGGGCAUGCCUGUCCGAGCGUCAUUUACCACCCUCGGGCCCCCUUGGGGGCCCGGUGCUGGGGGCACGGCCCAGGCCGCCCCCGAAAUGCAGUGGCGACCCCGCCGCGUCCUCCCCUGCGCAGUAGCACAAUCUCGCACCGGAAGCGCGGAGGCGGUCACGCCUGGAAACGCCCCAACUCAACGCAGUUGACCUCGGAUCAGGUAGGAGUACCCGCUGAACUUAAGCAUAUCAAUAAGCGGAGGA